rnacentral:rRNA from 1 species
UACGUAGGUGGCAAGCGUUGUCCGGAAUUAUUGGGCGUAAAGCGCGCGCAGGCGGCCUCUUAAGUCUGAUGUGAAAGCCCCCGGCUCAACCGGGGAGGGCCAUUGGAAACAUGGGACGGCUUGAGGUAGUAGGAGGAGAAGAUGGAAUUCCACGUGUAGCGGUGGAAAUGCGUAGAGAAUGUGGAGGAACACCAGUGGCGAAGGCGACUCUUUGGCCUAUAACUGACGCUGAGGCGCGAAAGCGUGGGGAGCAAACAGG